AGUGAACGCUGGCGGUAGGCCUAACACAUGCAAGUCGAACGGCAGCACAGUAAGAGCUUGCUCUUACGGGUGGCGAGUGGCGGACGGGUGAGGAAUGCAUCGGAAUCUACUUUUUCGUGGGGGAUAACGUAGGGAAACUUACGCUAAUACCGCAUACGACCUACGGGUGAAAGCAGGGGAUCUUCGGACCUUGCGCGAUUGAAUGAGCCGAUGUCGGAUUGGCUAGUUGGCGGGGUAAAGGCCCACCAAGGCGACAAUCCGUAGCUGGUCUGAGAGGAUGAUCAGCCACACUGGAACUGAGACACGGUCCAGACUCCUACGGGAGGCAGCAGUGGGGAAUAUUGGACAAUGGGCGCAAGCCUGAUCCAGCCAUACCGCGUGGGUGAAGAAGGCCUUCGGGUUGUAAAGCCCUUUUGUUGGGAAAGAAAAGCAGCAGGUUAAUACCCCGCUGUUCUGACGGUACCCAAAGAAUAAGCACCGGCUAACUUCGUG
rnacentral:rRNA from 1 species